AGAGUUUGAUCAUGGCUCAGGACGAACGCUGGCGGCGUGCUUAACACAUGCAAGUCGAGCGGAAAGGCCCUUCGGGGUACUCGAGCGGCGAACGGGUGAGUAACACGUGAGCAACCUGCCCUUAGCUCUGGGAUAGCUCCGGGAAACCGGAAUUAAUACCGGAUAUGACCAUGGCCGACAUCGGUUGUGGUGGAAAGAUUUAUCGGCUGGGGAUGGGCUCGCGGCCUAUCAGCUUGUUGGUGGGGUAAUGGCCUACCAAGGCGACGACGGGUAGCCGGCCUGAGAGGGCGACCGGCCACACUGGGACUGAGACACGGCCCAGACUCCUACGGGAGGCAGCAGUGGGGAAUAUUGCGCAAUGGGCGGAAGCCUGACGCAGCGACGCCGCGUGGGGGAUGAAGGCCUUCGGGUUGUAAACCCCUUUCGGCAGGGACGAAGCGGAAGUGACGGUACCUGCAGAAGAAGCACCGGCUAACUACGUGCCAGCAGCCGCGGUAACACGUAGGGUGCAAGCGUUGUCCGGAAUCAUUGGGCGUAAAGAGCUCGUAGGCGGUCUGUUACGUCUGCUGUGAAAACUCGGGGCUUAACCCCGAGCUUGCAGUGGAUACGGGCAGACUAGAGGUAGGUAGGGGAGAAUGGAAUUCCCGGUGUAGCGGUGAAAUGCGCAGAUAUCGGGAGGAACACCGGUGGCGAAGGCGGUUCUCUGGGCCUUACCUGACGCUGAGGAGCGAAAGCGUGGGGAGCGAACAGGAUUAGAUACCCCGGUAGUCC
rnacentral:rRNA from 1 species